rnacentral:rRNA from 1 species
AGAGUUUGAUCCUGGCUCAGAUUGAACGCUGGCGGCAUGCCUAACACAUGCAAGUCGAACGGCAGCACAGUCGUAGCAAUACGAUGGGUGGCGAGUGGCGGACGGGUGAGGAAUACAUCGGGACCUGCCCAGACGUGGGGGAUAACGUAGGGAAACUUACGCUAAUACCGCAUACGUCCUACGGGAGAAAGCGGGGGAUCUUCGGACCUCGCGCGGUUGGAUGGACCGAUGUUCGAUUAGCUAGUUGGUGGGGUAAUGGCCUACCAAGGCGACGAUCGAUAGCUGGUCUGAGAGGAUGAUCAGCCACACUGGGACUGAGACACGGCCCAGACUCCUACGGGAGGCAGCAGUGGGGAAUAUUGGGCAAUGGGCGCAAGCCUGAUCCAGCAAUGCCGCGUGUGUGAAGAAGGCCUUCGGGUUGUAAAGCACUUUUAUCAGG